rnacentral:rRNA from 1 species
AUUGAACGCUGGCGGCAUGCCUUACACAUGCAAGUCGAACGGCAGCACGGGUGCUUGCACCUGGUGGCGAGUGGCGAACAGGUGAGUAAUACAUCGGAACGUACCUUAUCGUGGGGGAUAACGCAGCGAAAGCUGUGCUAAUACCGCAUACGCCCUGAGGGGGAAAGCGGGGGAUCGCAAGACCUCGCGCGAUUAGAGCGGCCGAUGCCUGAUUAGCUAGUUGGUGGGGUAAAAGCCCACCAAGCCGACGAUCAGUAGCUGGUCUGAGAGGACGAUCAGCCACACUGGGACUGAGACACGGCCCAGACUCCUACGGGAGGCAGCAGUGGGGAAUUUUGGACAAUGGGCGAAAGCCUGAUCCAGCCAUGCCGCGUGUCUGAAGAAGGCCUUCGGGUUGUAAAGGACUUUUGUCAGGGAGGAAAUCCCUAGCGUUAAUACCGCUGGGGGAUGACAGUACCUGAAGAAUAAGCACCGGCUAACUACGUGCCAGCAGCCGCCGUAA